CUUGGUCAUUUAGAGGAAGUAAAAGUCGUAACAAGGUCUCCGUUGGUGAACCAGCGGAGGGAUCAUUACCGAGUUUACAACUCCCAAACCCAAUGUGAACGUUACCAAACUGUUGCCUCGGCGGGAUCUUCUGCCCCGGGUGCGUCGCAGCCCCGGACCAAGGCGCCCGCCGGAGGAAUCAACCAAAACUCUUAUUGUAUACCCCCUCGCGGGUUUUUUUUAUAAUCUGAGCCUUCUCGGCGCCUCUCGUAGGCGUUUCGAAAAUGAAUCAAAACUUUCAACAACGGAUCUCUUGGUUCUGGCAUCGAUGAAGAACGCAGCGAAAUGCGAUAAGUAAUGUGAAUUGCAGGAUUCAGUGAAUCAUCGAAUCUUUGAACGCACAUUGCGCCCGCCAGUAUUCUGGCGGGCAUGCCUGUCCGAGCGUCAUUUCAACCCUCGAACCCCUCCGGGGGGUCGGCGUUGGGGAUCGGCCUUCCUUCACGGGGGCCGUCUCCGAAAUACAGUGGCGGUCUCGCCGCAGCCUCUCCUGCGCAGUAGUUUGCACACUCGCAUCGGGAGCGCGGCGCGUCCACAGCCGUUAAACACCCAACUUUCUGAAAUGUUGACCUCGGAUCAGGUAGGAAUACCCGCUGAACUUAAGCAUAUCAAUAAGCGGAGGA
rnacentral:rRNA from 1 species